rnacentral:tRNA from 1 species
AGGGGCGUAGCUCAGUCUGGCAGAGCACGGGUCUCCAAAACCCGGUGUCGGGGGUUCGAAUCCCUCCGCCCCUG